UACUCACAUAUUGGCCCAAUGUGCCGGCACAGUGAUAGCUGAUAAAAAGAUUUAUAUGCGACAUGGCGCUGAUAGCUAGCUAUGCCGGGCCCCGAUAGCAGAUGAGCCGUGUGUGCAGGUGUCAUCCAGACGGUUAUGUUACCGGAGCUGUUUAAAAAGAAUGUUAGACUGAUAUUUUGUAACACUAUUCCAUUCUAAAGCACUUAAGACUAGCUUAUCUAAUGGAUAUGUGGAUAGAUAUGUAUCAGUAUAUACCUUAAAUGUACUGCUGCACUUUAUCGGGGAUCUCGAUCGCAGCCCUCUCCUUUGGGUGAAUCCCUCGAAAGCGUAUGAAGUAGUAUUCAAUUUUUAGUUGCAUAUGUAAAACAUGGCUCUGAUUAUGUUUUGAUACCAAAUUUUUCAAAUACAUAGCUAUAGGCUCUCCAUACAAAAAUAAGUACACUUAAAUUUAUACAUCAUUUGAGUUUAAUAAAUUAUAUUCUAAAUUAUAGUAAAUAUGACCUAUGCGCAGUUAAUUAAACAAAUAGCUUGAGUUCGCAAUUUACAAUCUACUUGUGCUGGCUCAUGGCUGGCCCAGUGAGUGCAGCGCCCGAAUUGAUCUCUUCAGCAGGUGCGAGAGCAGCGCGAAAAGCGUAACGAAUCCAUAGACAAGACCCGUUUUUAAGAUCAGGAGCAGCGGCUUCAUUUUCCAUGCAAUGAUUACAAGUAAAUGAAAAGGACCCAAGAAAUUGAAUCUUAAUUCUUUGGCGCAGUGUCGACGUUCCGCGUGCUUCAAAAACAGUUGCCACAGCAAUUCCAUUAGCGGCUAGGUAGGCGCUUUUCACCUGUAACAAGCGCACCAAAUGAAAAGGCAGCUGACUAUGCAUUAAUAACAAGACAGUUGAGAAUUUGAACACAAGGCUUUCUAUGCCGUAUAUAUACAUACAUGUACAUACAAAUAGCAUGUUAUAUCGCAUUUUAGUUAAAUGACAUGCCCGUGUGGAAAAGCGUGUUUAAUUUGCUCCGGCUCGGGCUCGGGCUCUGGGUCUGGCACUAGCUGUGGCUGAGAGGCUGUGGCAUCUGUUUUCUAUGACAACGGCAGUGGCGCAGCUUUGUCUCGUGC